rnacentral:rRNA from 1 species
UACGUAGGCAGCAAGCGUUGUUCGGAAUUACUGGGCGUAAAGCGCACGUAGGCGGCUUUGUAAGUUAGAGGUGAAAGCCCGGGGCUCAACCCCGGAAUAGCCUUUAAGACUGCAUCGCUUGAACACGGGAGAGGUGAGUGGAAUUCCGAGUGUAGAGGUGAAAUUCGUAGAUAUUCGGAAGAACACCAGUGGCGAAGGCGGCUCACUGGACCGUUGUUGACGCUGAGGUGCGAAAGCGUGGGGAGCAAACAGG